rnacentral:rRNA from 1 species
UACGUAGGGUGCAAGCGUUAAUCGGAAUUACUGGGCGUAAAGCGUGCGCAGGCGGUUAUGUAAGACAGUUGUGAAAUCCCCGGGCUCAACCUGGGAAUUGCAUCUGUGACUGCAUAGCUAGAGUACGGUAGAGGGGGGAUGGAAUUCCGCGUGUAGCAGUGAAAUGCGUAGAGAUGUGGAGGAACACCGAUGGCGAAGGCAGCCCCCUGGGUCAAGAUUGACGCUCAUGCACGAAAGCGUAGGGGA